GGAGGAGACCCAAAAAGCACAACGGGGUUGAAAACACUCACAUGGAGAUUAUAGGAGGCCAGGCUCUGCAGAGGACACAGAGCUGAGUGAGUUGAUUUAUAAGAGGAAAUGCAGAAUUCAAGAUGAGCCUGUAUAACAGGCAAUCUAGCUAUCUCCGCUAUCUUUUAAGUACUGAGUGCAUAUUGCAAUAUCAUGUGCCUUCGAACCAUGGUGACUGAUGUAUGUGAAGUCAUCAGUAGAGGUGAUAUGCAAGAGACAUAAUGGAAGCAAGAAAGUCCUUGAAACUGCUGUUUUUGAGCAAAAUCAAGAUGCCUUCCUGGUCAUUUUGGAAUCGAGUAUCUCAUCAGCUUUGUAAUCCUGUCUCAUUAACUUCCUGCAGCACGGGAAAAUUCUCCAAGAAACACAUAAGACCUAGGGUAGAAGGGAAU